rnacentral:rRNA from 1 species
GGUUGUCGUCAGCUCGUGUCGUGAGAUGUUGGGUUAAGUCCCGCAACGAGCGCAACCCUUGAUUUUAGUUGCCAGCAUUUAGUUGGGCACUCUAAAGUGACUGCCGGUGCAAGCCGGAGGAAGGUGGGGAUGACGUCAAAUCAUCAUGCCCCUUAUGACCUGGGCUACACACGUGCUACAAUGGAUAGUACAAAGGGUCGCGAAGCCGCGAGGUGGAGCUAAUCCCAUAAAACUAUUCUCAGUUCGGAUUGUAGGCUGCAACUCGCCUACAUGAAGCCGGAAUCGCUAGUAAUCGUGGAUCAGCAUGCCACGGUGAAUACGUUCCCGGGCCUUGUACACACCGCCCGUCACACCACGAGAGUUUGUAACACCCGAAGUCGGUAGGGUAACCUUUAUGGAGCCAGCCGCCGAAGGUGGGACAGAUAAUUGGGGUGAAGUCGUAACAAGGUAGCCGUAUCGGAAGGUGCGGCUGGAUCACCUCCUUU